rnacentral:rRNA from 1 species
CGCAUCUGUGCAUGCAGCAUAUCAAUAAGCGGAGGAAAAGAAACUAACAAGGAUUCCCUUAGUAACGGCGAGUGAAGCGGGAAGAGCUCAAAUUUGAAAUCUUAAAGGGUUUCCCUUUACGAAUUGUAGUUUAAAGAAGUGUUUUCUGUUGAAGUUUUGGUAAAAGUUCUUUGGAAUAGGACAUCAUAGAGGGUGAGAAUCCCGUAUUUGACCAUUAUUUUCAGCUGUGUGAUACACUUUCAAAGAGUCGGAUUGUUUGGGAAUGCAGUCCAAAAUGGGUGGUAAAUUUCAUCUAAAGCUAAAUAUUGGCGAGAGACCGAUAGCGAACAAGUACCGUGAGGGAAAGAUGAAAAGAACUUUCGAAAAGAGAGUUAAACAGUACGUGAAAUUGUCAAAAGGGAAGCGUUUGACACCAGUGUUGUUUUCUCGAAAAUCAAUUAAAAAGAGUUAGAUUUUGUUGUGUAUUGACCUUAACAGCUUGCAUUUCAAUUUUCUUGCUUUUUUUAAUGCACUUUUCGUUUAACAAGUCAACAUCAGUUUCUUUUGUUGUAAAAAGGUCAUUGGAAGGUGGCUUUCUUUUCGGAGAAAGUGUUUAUAGCCUUUGACUCCUGCAAUCGGAGAGAACUGAGGUCUGCAGCGUAGAUCCUUCGGGGUUAGAUACAUUUUGUGCUAAGUUAUAGCUUUUUAUAGACAACUUGUUGACUAUGAUUAGUCUUGUAGCUUACUCGCUUAUGUUAUUUUACCUACGCUUAGGAUGUUGAUGUGAUACUGCGAGC